UGAUGAAGAUAAAGUGUUGUUGUUGUAAUAUGCUUUACCAAAGUCUCAUGCUUACUUCAAAAAGCUCUUAUGUAUGGAAGAUAUUCAUUGACCUUUGGAGAUGUUCAAUAUGUCUUGUACUCUAAGGACUUUAACGAAUGAAAGGAGCAUAAAUAAUUUUCAGUCGGCGAAGGGUUGUCCGUUAAAGGAAGAUUCUUGAAAAAAGGCGAUAGGUUUGAGAAGAAGAAGGGUAAAGUUCUACAAAAUUCUUAUGGGGGUAAUGCUCUUGUUAUUAAGUGUUAUCGUUGUAAGAAAGAGGGUCAUACAACAAAAGUAUACCCUGAUCGUCUGAACAAUCAUGGUGGAAAGGAUAAUGGUAAUGCAGCCAUUGUAUAAUAUGAUUAUAAAUCAUCUGAUGUCCUGGUGGUUUCAAGCAACAACUCUAGUAAGAAGUAGAUUAGAGUUGCAGAUAGAGUUGUCCUGGUUUGGUCGUCGCACAAAGGGGCACCCAAUAAUUCGUUGCAGAUAGAGUUGUCAUGGUUUACUCUAUCAUUCACGGCCUUACCAUCUAUACGAAGAUCCAACAACAUGUAUACAUCCUCAAGUGUGACAAUACACUCACCGAUAGAAAGGUGAAAUGUGUGGGUCUCGGGUCUCCACCUCUCCAACAAAGCAAGAAUGAACUUGUAGUCUACCGAGUACGAGACAAUGUUGAGGAGAUUUCCAAAUCCACAUCCUCUAAUAUAUGGUUAUAUCAAAGGAUCGUGGGGUACAUAUUCAUGUACAUGGCAUCGAAAACGCUUUGGGUCCUAAUAACACAUAAGUAAGAAAUACAAUAAGAAGAAGUAAUAUAUAAUACAAACAUAGAUAACAAAGGUAUACGAGUUAAAAAUGGAAUAAGUAAAAAGAGAGUGAUAACAUACAAAUGUCAAGAUAUUCUCAAGUGUUCCUCUGUGUUCAUCACCCAUAGUCAAUAAAGACAUAAUUUGAUGUUGCAGAGCUUAAGUGUGGCAGAGAAAAAGUGUGGUAAAGAAAGAGUAUAGAUGACUAGUGUUGUAGAUGAUUUGAUAUUGUGAUUUGAAGCCUAUUUAUAUAUGAGGAAGUCUUACUAGGUUUGCAACCUACACAACAUGUGAUUGGUUGCAUGCAAUGCAAAAGUAGAGUAACCAUGGUCUUAGGCACAUGCAUGUGAUUGGUUGCCACUUCUUAUUUAAUAAUUAUUUAGUAUUUAAAUCUUAUGUUUGAUUUAAAUUUUGUUUUUAUAAAAUUUUCUUCAAGAAAAUCAAUGACAAUUAAAAAUUAUAAUAUUGAGCAAUGGAUGAGUCAUAAACACUCACGAGACGAUCUUCUAGUAAGUGUUAUCACUCAGUAUAAAAAAGUAUUAAGAAAAUGAAUUAUAAAGCAAAGAUGUUACUUAGGAAUGAACACUAAACAAUAUCGAAAUUUCUACUCAAAUAUUCUAUUUUUUCAAAAAAAAUCUCAAAAUAACCCAAUUUUCAAAAACAUUAUCGAACUAUCUCAGUUUAAAAAAAAAUACGUAAGGUAUAGGCGUCAGACCAAUUAGCGUCUACACUUAAACUUUAAGUGGGGAUGCCAAUUGAAUUGGGUAAAGCACAUAGUGCUGCCAAUCCAAUUGGCGUCCAUGUGUUAUUUGUAAUAGGAGGCGUCAAUUGGUUUGGCGCCUCAGUGUAAUGUGAAAUUUUUUGGUUAUAAAUAGAUAUGUUGUAUGAUUCAUUUUUCCAUAUCUCAUUUUAUCAUAUUGCAAACAUGUUUGGUGUUCGUUGUCGUUAUGAAAAAGUGAUUUAUUCGAAAGACAAGCCUCCGAUGUAUGCUUUUCUGGAACAUCUGUAGUUUCGAUCAACUGAAGAGAUAGUUGAUUCGUUGGUUAGAUGGAAAAUUACCAGAAGGGGGAAAAAUUAGAAGUAUUGAGAGACUCGAUAGUAUAUUUGGUCAGGUGCAAGUCAAAAUUGAUAAGGAUGCUAGGGAAAUGAUGUUUGGACGACAUGACAUCAGUUUGAUUGUUGUAAUCAGUUAGAAAUAUUUUGCUUUAAGUUUGCUUAUGUUGUAGUGAUGUUUGUUGUUAACAUUGUUGUAACAAAAAGAUAAUGAUAUAUAAAAAUCCAGGGUUACAAAAAUUGAAAGGAAAUACUAAAUUAUGAUACAGAUAUUGCUCCUAUAUUGGGACAUUUGUUCUUAUUGUGUCCUGGUUGACGACAUAUAUUACAUAAUCUUAUCAUUUUAUCAGUCGUAUCCAUUUCUGUUCUAAUACGCGUGCUGUUUGGUCGUCCUUUUUUUUCUCUUCGCAUCUCAUCGUUGUGCCAAACUGUGUCAUCUUCAUAUGGAGACCAGUAUUCCUCCAUUGGUAGCAUUGAAAAGCUUUUGUUAUACACAUUCAUGACGGUAAUGGCCUUGUAAACAUCAGAUAGAUGGUUGUAAGCGUCCUGGCGAGUAUGUGCGCAUGCCGCAAUGACAUGGGAGCAAGGAAUACAGAAGGCCUAAAACUUUCCACAAUCGCACCAACUUCUGUUUAGUUUGACAGCAUAUGAUAAAUCUGGCAUCCCCUCAUUGUGGUCCAUUGUUUCCUAUACAGUUGAAUUUUGCCUAUGACGGUCAAAGACUGUAACCACGUGUGUGCUAACUUUGAUACUUUCCUCUUUCAUCACUUUCAUAUAACAUUCACUGAAUAUUUGACCCGACAUUAACAUUGAACUCUAUCUUUCACCUCUGGUUGCGAAGGUAGAAGUCAACCAAAAAUAGAUUGUUCUGACCAAAGCAAUUAUUAGUAGAUUUCUAAUGCAUUUGAAUACGUCGUUUAUGCAUUCCACAAGUUUUGUUGUCAUGUGGCCUCAUCGACAGCCUCUGUCAAAUGCCAUUGUCCAUUGCUCUAUUGGUAUGUUAUCCACCCAUCUUCCCACAUUUGCAUUAGACAAUCUAAUUUCAUCAUGGUAAUGUUGAAAUGACAGCUGAGUUAGAGCAUACCCUGCAUUCACCACUUUUUGCGAAGGACAUGGGUGGAAGGAGGAUCAUGUAGUUAUUGUAAGCACUCUCAAUGGAAGCAUGUCUAUCUGAAAUCAAACAGAGAUUGACUUGUGGAGCGACAUGUGUUCUGAGAUGUCGAAGGAAGAAACCCCAACCACCAUCGAUUUCACCUUCUACCAAAGCAAAGACAAUGGAAAAGACAUUAUUGUUGUCGUCUUGUGCAACAACCAUAAGCAAAGUACCAUUGUAUUUGCCGUAUAACCAUGUUCCAUCAAUUUGAAUAAUAGGUUUGUAGAAUGCAAAACCUUUGGAUGCACGGUUCAAACGCCCAAAAGAGGCGGUGAAAGAUUAUAUUUCCAGCAACACGGGUUUUGUUUGGCGUAAAUGUUGGCAAUGUCUCCAUAAUUGCAACAGUUCCUGGUAUGUAUGUUUUUAGGGCCCAUAAAAAUCAUGACAAUUCUUUGCAUGAAUCCUCCAAGUUGCCGAAUACAUGUUCAACAACUUUUGUCCUUGCAAUCUGAUCGUUGUGAUUCACAAGUGAACGAAUAACGUCAAAGUAAUAUAAAAGAAUAUCGAUCCCACAGAGACCAAUCGUCAAUCUAUCGAAUACUAUCGUUACGGUUUUUAUCUAAGGCGGUAUAAAAGAGAUAUUUGGUGUGCAAAUUAACGGUAAAUAAUAAAUGCAGGUAAAGACAGGUUGAAUGUAAUUCACGUCAAUUAAGUGAUGUUUCGAUUGUCUAAAUAGAACUACUUAUGAGGCAAUAUUUUCUACUCUUGAAAAGAAUCCAUUUAACGGGAACUAUUGCUUUCGCGUAUUUAGAACCGAGUUUACCCUUAAAUUAAGGCCUUUUAUUGUCACAUAUAAAAGGUGCGCAGAACGCUAAAGUAGUAAACCUAUUUUUAAGAAAUGAGACUCGUAGACUUAGUUGAAAAGUGAUUUUGAUUUGGAAAGUUUACCUAAGGAGUUUACUGAUUUUAAACCUAUCAACGCGUCCGAAAACAGUUUCAAAAAUAGCUUUUCCUUAAAGUUAUAAAGAUUCCUAGUUACUAUGCCAGGGUUCUUUCGCACUCCUCGAAUAAUUAAAACUAACCAAGUUUGUUUUAGAAAACUCAAGUUAAAAAUCAAAACAACCUUUAAAGUAUUUCUACAGAUUUCAAUAUGUGAAACAUUACUUUAACCGUGAUCCAAACUAACCAAGUUUGUUUUAGAAAACUCAAGUUAAAAAUCAAAACAACCUUUAAAGUAUUUCUACAGAUUUCAAUAUGUGAAACAUUACUUUAACCGUGAUCCUUACAUUCUAACCUUUAAAAGAUUUAGCCAGACAUAGUAACCCAAACAAACAUAACAGUGUUAAUCAUGAUGAAAAGUUUGUUUUAGACUGUGAGGCGUAGAGAGCGAGUAAAAUGCGUAAAAUAAAUAAAGUAAAGCGAGUGCGGAAAAUAAAUAAAGUAAAGCGAGUGCGGAAAAUAAAUAAAAUAAAGCGAGUGAGGAAAAUGAAUAAAGUAAAAGUGAAUGCGGAAAAUAAAUAAAGUAAAAGCGAUGCGGGAAAUAAAUAAAGUAAAAGCGAUGCGGGAAAUAAAUAAAUAAAGCGAUAAGUAAGAACCUGCUCCAAACGGAAGCUUUGAUUCUGAUACAAAAAUAAACCUCUGACUCCUGAAGCUAAAGGCGACAUCAACUCGAAGUGACCCAACUCAAUCUCACAAUGGUGCGAUAACCCCCCGAUGUGACGGAUUAUCGCUAUUACAAAUGAUAAAUAUAUGCUUAGUGUUGUAAAACUAAGUUGGAUGAUAGAAAACGAAAUGAAAUGAGCUAUUUAUAGAGAUUCUCAGCAGUUUGCAAAGACCAUGGUGCCCUCCAACUUCUCCUUAAUGGGCUUUAGUGGGAACGUGAUUUCCAAAGGUGGCGCCCACCAUCCCUUCAUGGCGCCCGCCAUGUGUGUAAAUGGGGUGAAUUGUGGGAACAUGGCGGUUACCUCCUGGUUGAGGGCUGGUGACUCAUGGCUUCCCCUAUAGCGGCCGCCAUGUGUGUAAUUUCGCCGAAAAACCCUAAUUUUAGGUCUUUUUGCUUCGUUUCUUCCAAAAGAGUCCGAAAGUGCUAAAUAUCUGAGCCGCCAUGUGUGUAAUUUCGCCGAAAAACCCUAAUUUUAGGUCUUUUUGCUUCGUUUCUUCCAAAAGAGUCCGAAAGUGCUAAAUAUCUGAAAACAAGAGAAAAGAGAGCAUAAUACAAAUAAAAUUAUGAUAAAGUCCUAAUAAACAUGUGAAAUCCGAGUCAAAAAUACGGUAUAAUUCGAUGCGAUCAAACUCUCCCACACUUAAACCUUUGCUUGUCCUCAAGCAAAACUCUUUAUAGUUUAUGCAAGAAAAUCAAUAUCAACUAAAGUUAAUUUGAGGAAAAAAGACUUACGAGUUCAUUAAAGGAAUGUAUCGAUAGGUACUAACGAAUCGAACUAAGGGUAUUGUAGUGACACUUCCCGCAAUUGCGGUCGUAGGCUUCGUUCCUAUACAAGUCAAUCCACAUCACCCCACCAUACCUAAGCCUUCUUUUUGUUUUCCUAAAUUCCUUUUCAUUCAAGUGCAAUCACAUUAAGCCCGUUAUCUAUACAUACUCAUAUUAAAGUGACCGGUUAGUGAUUAUGAUCUUAAGCAUGGGGCUCUGGUACAUGAGUUGGUGUAGCCCUUUUAUUUAACCCAAUUUUCGGUCAUGGGGGAUUGGAUCGUAAUCCACCCUACCAAGUUCAACACCAGAUACCUCUGGACCGACAAGCAAAUAGGCUUUUUAUUUUAUUUUUCUAAACAUGGGGCUCUGGUACAUAAGUCGACCCAAUUUGCAGUUGUGGGGGAUUAGAUCGUGGUCCACCCUACCAAGUUCAGCACCAGAUACCUCUGAACCAACAAACAAAUAGGCUUAUUAUUUUUAUUUUUCUCCUGCAUGUUCCGCAUAUGUUUUUAUUUUUGCUAGGUUAAAUGACCGUGUGAGAGUCACCUAGCCCGGAUUUUCAUGCGGUUUGGGAACAAAGCAAGGAUUUUUGUGAUCACUCACUUAUUUUCAUCGGUCCCCUACGUAGAGCAUGCUUAAGUCGGAGCUGACUGCUAGGAUAAACUACUUAAGGACCUAUUUGGAACAAAAAUUGGGGCUACAUCAUAUGGGGUAUCGGGAUCGACUCUUAUAAUCAUGAAGCCUAAGGUGUUAAGACAAUACCGAUUUUUGAAAAAGUUUUCCCAAGUCUUUUACAUCCUAUUAUAAACCUGUCAUGUAGCUUGAAUGUUCAAGAUGUACUGGUUUCUUGGCUAAAAAAAUUUUUGGUAAGGUUAAAGAAAUUGGGGAAAUAAGGAUACACUUUACACAGAUGACUCGUCAGACACAUGUUAUUUUAUUGAAAGGGAAAAACAAGCAACUAAAAUAAAAAAAAAACAUACUAAAAGUAAAAGAAAGCGAUAAAGAGCAAUAAAAGUAAAGGAAAGCAAUAAAAACAAAGGAAAGAUGAAAAGCGAUAAAAUCUCCUCCCACACUCAAACUGAACAUUGUCCUCAAUGUUUCGUGAGAGAUAGGGUAGGAGUAACCUGGAAAAGAGAGAGAGAGAGAGAGAGAGAGAGAGAGAUCUAGGGGUGAGCACCGGUACCAUCACCGCCCUGGUCAGGAUGCCUGGGUCGACGACGUCUGGAUCGAGUACUAAGUCCUUCCUGCAGCUGCCGAGAGCGACCUAGGAGAGCUCCUUGGUUGGCCUUGAUGAGAGCGAAGUGACGCUCAUUAGACUGUCGCAUGUGUUGCUGCUCAUUAGUGAUCGCAAGCAAAGACUCAAUGAUAGUCUAAUGUGCUCGCUCACUACGCUCUUGGGAAGCUACCAUAAAACUCAUAUUGUCUGACAGUUGUUGGUUUAUGGUGUUCAGGAGGGUGUCACGUCUUUCCUCACGAGCCAUGUGCUCGCGCCACAUCUCCUCAGUGAUGUAGAAACCGGGAGUGGUACCUGCAAAAGGGUUAGAGGAAGAAGGUGCGGUGUGUACAGGUGAUGCAACAGGAAUAUCAUGAGUUGGCGACUGGUCGCGUCGGUCAUACUCAUCAUCGGUUCCUUGCCCUUCGUCCAUAGGAACGUUAGGUGGCAAAGGACCGGUAAAUGGCAGACCAUCAAGAUCGUAUGUCCAAUUCCUCGCAUGUCGCACAUCCGUACGCUGAGAGCAAGGUAGAACAACGAUGGGUACAGCUGCACCAUGUAUCAUAAGAUAGAAACCACCUUCUCGCCGCACCUUGCAUAAUUUCAUAUCUUUCAAAAACUUCAAGUUAAUGGUGUGGUGAUGGAGUGGUUCCAAGGUAGCUAACUCAGCGUGUAGAUUCAACGCUCUAGAGAUAGAGGUAAUUAAACCACUGAAAAGAGAUGGUUCCUCCUUUCUUAAGGAUGGCAGACAUAUGGGCCAACAUGAAAGGAACAAGAUUGAUCCUGCGAUUAGUAAGGCACCCCUGUAAAAAUAGCAUUUCUCGGGCAUUUACUUUGUUAGAAUUUUCCCGGCUAAAUAUAGUACAUGCCAAAAGGUAUCUAAAAAUACGUAUGGCCGGGUUAUGGAUAUUUGAAGCCAAAAUUCCCUCAAAGGAAGUGACAUUCACAUUAGAUAAUCGGUUCCAGAAAGUAAAUGCCUCGAUUGCCCACUAAAGGAGAAUUGCCAUCUAAGGCGCAGCGGAAUUUAAAAAUUUCUCCAUUUAGUGAUCCUUACGAAUGGGCAUGAUCAGUGAUAGAAUCGUUACCUCUUGUGGCGAUUCAAACCUUUGGUGUAGAUCUCUUGUAACAAUCAAAACCUUUGAUACAGAUCCACGGGGCGAUCACGAACGUUGAACGAUGACAACGUCUCUACUCAGUCCACACGAACGGAUUCCUUCAAUCGCAGUGCUAGCUGUUAUGAAUGAAGGCUUUGAGUGAGAGAGAGAUACGAAAUUCCAACUCUUCGUUGUGUUGUCUGUCUCAGUGAGUUACAUUGCUUCUACCCAGGGGUUUUAUUUAUAGAACCACUUGUGUGGGCUUCAGCCAAAAAGCCCACUUAAGUGCAUUUUGGCCCAUCUCAUUAAUAUGCAAAUCACUUAAGUAUUUGGUACCUUACCAUAUUUCGUAUUCUACUUAGUACACCGUACCUUACGAUGUUCCUUAAUUCAUUCUACUCUAUCAAUCCGUCCUUUAGUGUGACCCUAUAGGUUUUCGCAGACGUUGCAAUUAUAUUAAUCACGCAUUUAACAUAAUAAACAGUGAGCGGUAUCUAGCGACACCUCACUGCUACCCAAGUUACCGAAAAUGUCAUGUGACUGACAAACUCCUGUGAUAAUAAUUAUGUGUAUAAAUUACCCCUUUGCCCUUAUGUCUAUAUUGAACACAGGUAUAAACCGUGAUUACCUUGUCCAGUUCAUAUGGGCCCAUAGACAUUUAUCCUGUUGCGCAGGAUAGGCAAAUUCCAUCUUAGGACACUCAUGUCCCUCAGCAUGCGUUUGUGGGUAGCCCAUCAACUGUCUUUAUGGUUAUCCAGUUACGGACAACGUUGGAUCAGCAAUAAAGCACUCGACUCUACAUCUAGAUCCAUGUGGUUUCAGGUAGAAGAGUGGUAUACACUAUUAUCACCAUGAGAAUAAAUUAUGACAUUUGCAUAACUUUCUACUAUAGUAUUUCAUAGCGGGUCAAUCCGGUUACAAAUAUUACUCCUAUAUUCAUACCUAUGUGUUAAGACUUGGUAACUCUUUAUCUAUGAUCCAUGAGAUGUGAUCAUCAGUCUACAAACUAAUGUGUCUUAAUGCUUUAAUGUUAUCCCACUAUCUCACUACACUAUAGCGUCAGACUGGAUACUUUUACAGAUAGUGUCCUUAUGUUUAAAUGCGUUCUACUAUGAUUAAGUCAUACUUAAUACAUUACGGAUUAUCUAUCUAGGGAUUUUAUUAAAUCAAACAUAAUAAGAAAAUGCCUUUUUUAUAUAAAUAAUUCGAUACAAGUACCAAAGUAUUGGCUCUAGGUUACACCAACAAUUCCACCUAGCACUAGAAGCAAUCAGGGAUACCCUAAUGCCCAUUGAUCUGUAUGGCCGUCAUGCUUCUGCUGCGCAAGAGGCUUUGUCAGUGGGUCCAAUAUUGUCAAGUGAGGUACUCUGCAUAUUUUACUCUCCCUAUCUAUUAUCUCUCGAAUGAGAUGAAACGCCUGAGAAUGUGUUUGGAUCUUGGUGGAUCUAGGUUCCUUAGCUUGGCGAUAGCCUAUUGUUAUACAAUGAGACCCUGGGAUUCAUAUGCUUGAACUAUGUCAAGUUCACUAAUGAACUUUUUGAUCCAAACAGCUUCCUUUGUGCACUUGAGCACAGCAAUAUUACUCGGCCUCUGUUGUAGAAUCAGCAACUGUAUCUUGCUUUGAACUUUUCCAGUCCAGCGCCGCCUUUAAGCAAACACAUAACCAGAUUGCGAUCUAAAGUCAUCCUUAUCUGUCUGGAUGCUGGCAUCGGUGUAUCCGAUUACAGCCAACUCUUCCUGACCUCAUAUAAUCAAGAUGAGUCCUUAGUCCUUCUUAAGUACUAAGGAUUUCUUGACCAACUACCCAAUGGGCAUCACCAGGAUCAGAUUGGUACCUAUUCGUUGCACUUAAGCAUACGAGACAUCUGGUCGAGUACAUAACAUGGCAUACAUGAUAGAUCCUAUUGCAGAUGCAUAAGGUCUUAUUCAUGUGAUCCCUUCUUCCUUAGUUGAUUGGUGAUUGUGUUUUUGAUAGACACAUGCUGCUUGCAAUAGGUAUAGAUCCUUUCUUGGAUCAUUCAUAUGUAAAGCGUAUCAGCACUUUGUCCAUGUAGUGUACCUCUCGACUUAGGCCAAGCAGGUUUUUUGUGAUCUAUCUCUAUAGGAUUCUGAUUCCAAUUAUUAGGCUGGCUUCACCUAGGUCCUUCAUAGAAAAGCAUCUUUCCCAACCAAGUCUUUACUGUUGCAGGUAGGGACCAUCGUUUCAAUGAGCAAUAUGUCAUCUACAUUAAUAAUACCAGGAAAACGAUCAUGCUCCCACUAACCUUCUUGUAGACACAAGGCUCAUCUUCGUUUCUAGAAGACGAAUCCAUAUUGUUUUACCGUAUUCAUUCAAACGAAGAUUCCAGCUUCUUGGAAGCUUGCUUCAAUCCAUAGAUUGAUCUCUUUGUAGCUUACUAUCUUAUGGGUUCUUCUAGGUAUGUCAAAUCCUUAGGGUUGAUGUCAUGUAAUAGCAUCCUCAGAAGUUCACCUUAGCGAAAGCAGUUUUGAGCAUCCAUCUGCCAGUAUUUAUAAUCCAUUGAUCUGCAGCCGAUAGCAAGUAAAAUCCGAAUAGAUUUAAGCAUUGCAACUGGUGAAAAGGUUUCAUCAUAGUCAACACCAUGAAUUUGUUUAUAUCCUUUUGCAACCAGUCUUACCUUAUAGGUAUGUACCUUACCUUCCAUGUCAGUCUUCUUUUUGAAGACCCACUUGCAUCCUAUAGGAUUAACUCCUACAGGAGGCUCUACCAAGUUCCAAACUUAGUUCGUGUACAUGGAAUCUAUUUCGGAUUUCAUGGCCUCUAGCCACUUCUCAGACUCGGGACCAGCUAUGGCCUCUUGGUAGGUCACAGGCUCAUCUUGAUCCAUGAGUGAUACAUCACCUUGAUCUGUUAUGAGAUAUCCAUAUCUCUCAGGUAGGUGACGUAUCCUGCCUGACCUACGCUGGUCUUGUUCUACUUGAGUAGGUUGCUCUUACACAACUACUUGUGUUUCCUGCUCUAAUUCCUCCAUAGGUGUAUCGAUACUUUGUGAUUCUUGAAUUUCUUCAAGCUCUACUUUCNAUCAUAUGGAUUAUUCCCAACUCUUGCUUCUAAACAUAUAUAAGAAAAUUAUAAUCAAGUUUGACUCAUCGUUUUAGCAGUUGGAUAUUACAAUUAUCCCAUCGCACCUUAACUAAUACAAAACAUAUAUAAUAUUCUCAUAAUUUGUUUAGUUAAGUUUGACCCAUUGUUUUAACAGUUGGAUAUUACAAUUAUCCCAUCGCACCUUACUAAUAUAUAGAUCAUGCACCUUGCGUAGGCGAAACCUACAUUAUCCAGUACUAGUCUUGAUGAGUGUUAAAAUUUGGAAAGCAUAAACUUAAUAUUUAAUUUGAGGGAAUUGCAAUUUUUCUGAUCUCACCGGCUUGUUUAUCAUAUAAACCGUCUCUCACAUGCAUCAACAUACAUAAUGAAAUAGUUAUGGCCCCUAGCGCAAUUGUUCUCCCAAGCCAAUGAGAGAACCUAAACUAACCUACAACGAUCUAAGCUUCUCCAAGCAAGAUCUUCAAGGUUGUCCUCCUUUGGCACUGACUUCUUUGCUUUCUUCAUAUCAUUACAUUACAUGAAAGAAACUCGUUUUACAUACGAGGGAGUGAGAUGAGAAAAGAAGUUACAUUUGGGAGAUUAAGAGAGAGGCACGACACGCAGGUCGUAUUUUAAAAUCCAAAGCAGAAUAAAGGAAAACUAAGGGCAUAACCGAUCACCACAAGACAAUAAUAAACACUUUAUUAUUAUUAUUAUUAAUUCCUUUAAUUAAUCAAAUUAAAUUUCGACGACCGAUCACACUACGUAGAGUUAGCCGGGGGUCCGCUGCCCGGACAGCGGGAACGGGUGUUCCGCUGCCCGGUCAGCGGACGGUGGUUCUGCUGACCGUUAAGCGGACAGGGGUCAAGGGGGCAGCGUCCCUUGCGGGGUCGAAGGGGCAGCGCCCCUGCUCGAAAUUUUUAAUGAACAAUUCAUUUAAAAUUGACGUCGUUUUUCGUAUCAACACUUGAUACUUCAAAGCACUUUUUCUAGCCGAACGGAUGAAUUUUUCCUUGCGUUAACUGGUUAACCAUAUGCGUUAACCGGUUAACACUGUUUGAAAACUUUUAGAAAAUUCUUUUCUGAGCAAUCCCGCUAAAGCAUCGGUAGUGUACUUGUAUUCUACAUUAAACAUCCUAAAAUAAACGGUACCUACCGUGCUAGCAGUGCCGAGAUGGACAAUGUAAAUCAGGGAACUUAAAAAUUCCCUAGUGAGCCUAUUGUAGGUGGGCGCUUUGCUAGCAAAAAUAUCGUGUAAUCCUAAAUUAUCUAGCAUGUGGAAUACACUAUGAUAUGUGCCUAGAGUGUACAAACAGUCUUCGUUGACAUACCUGGUAGAGAGGAUCUCCCGAGUUUGCAAUCUUUGCAAAAUCUUGUUUUGUCGCUCACCGGGCUUUCCUCCACGAAGAGUGAUGUCGUUAAACUCCAUUCCGGCCAUUAAUGGAGGUUGUUGAGAAAAAUGAGUAAUUAUAGAAAAGAAAUGAAAAAAUGGAAUUAAUGGAUUUUUGGUGGAGGGUUGGAGAAGUGAAGAUGGAAAAUUGUUGGUUUGUAGUGAAAGUGAGAAGAUUGAAAAUUCUUAUGAAUUCGGUAGAGUUUGGAGAAGUAGAGAAUAUGUUUGGAAAAGUUGAAGAAUGUAUAAAUAGUGGAAAAGGUAAAUCUGGCCGUUACGUCAUGGCGCCCGCCAUGGAGCUCAUGGCGCCCGCCAUGUCCUUAUCGGAAAUGGUUUGGGCGGCUGUGUUGUUUGCUUCUUGGACCUUAAUCCUUCUCGUCUUCAUUUUUGCAAUGGGGGUGUAUAUAGUUCCACGAAUGUGUUUUUUAUUUGUUUUUGAUUUUAAGUUUGAUAAAAUAAAAUGAAACGAAUAAAAUAAACAAAUAAAGUAAAACAAAUUAAAUAAACAAAACAAAUAAAAACAAAAUAAGAUAGUAAGUAAAACAAAAUAAACAAAAUAAAAUAAUGGACAUAAAAACAUAAUAAUAUAAUAAUGCAUAAAUUAUAUAUAUAUAUAUAUAUAUAUAUAUAUAUAUAUAUAUAUAUAUAUAUAUAUAUAUAUAUUAUAUAUAUAUAUAUAUAUAUAUAUAUAUAUAUAUAUGUGUGUGUGUGAGAAUAGUCAAUAAUAAUUCACGAGUCCAAAGAUCUUAGGAAAUAAAGCAAGCAUAAUGUCAUAGGAAAUGAUAAAAAUAGGCAUGAAUAAUAAAUACGGGAAAAGAAAUAGGGAAAUUCAAACGGUAUUUCUCAGUCCAUGAUGGCAUCAACGCUCGGGAUAUAGUGGAGUUUCCUCGACCUCGUAGCCUCGAAGCUCUGUGAUCUGGCGUCGGAGAUCGGCGAUCUCAUCAUGCAGCAUAUCAGUCUCGGUGUCGUGUGAGGCAACUGCUACCUCGACCUGCAGGGCAACAUCAGCAAGCUCCUGGCGAAGCUCAACUAUCUCCAUGCGAAGCUUAACCAAUUCGGACUGCAUGCUCGGAGUCUGGAGAUUAGGAUUGUUGGUACGAACUUUAAUUCCGAUCGGUGCAAUCUUCGGCGCAUCUACAGUCUCUCCCUGCCCUUCUAUGGCGUUAACCCAGUUAGCCUGAUCAAUGACACAAGUCACCUAAGGGUCAGGUAAAGUGAAGUAGUGAAUGGUCUCACCCUUAAUUAACAAUCUGUAUUGAUCCGGUUGGAAAGAGGAUCUCCUCAUCAGACCACGGUCCAGACAACAAUCAACAUCCAUCAAGGUGUAGCUGCAAUAAGGUGUCAGGUGAGACAGUCUCCUAUUGAGUCCCAGGGCUGAGGCUAUGUGAGUCACCGUGCUUCCGACAUGAAUGGGGCUCGCAGCAGAGCGAGCACUAAGGUGUAAGCUCUCGAUCAAGAAAACUCCACAGUCUACCGAGUGUGACUGAGUAGUACAGUACAUGAAGAAGAUCUCUUCAGCACUCACAUGCGUAUCAGGGUCACUCUUCCCCAGGAAGGUGUGGGCAAUGAUCAUCUAGAAGUAUCAGAAAGCAGGGUUGUGAAUUUUGUUGGAGAUCUGGGUUGAGGGGUCAGGACUACCUCCACAUGUCAUAUCGCUCCAAAACUUCUCGACGUCUCGGCUCAGAAAGUAUCUCAUGGGGAGAUCGGAUGAAGCAUCAUAGGCAGUCUGAAAUCCAAGUAAAUCACUGAAACGCUUGUGAAACAUUACUUUAAAGUAUUUCUACAGAUUUCAAUAUGUGAAACAUUACUUUAACCGUGAUCCUUACAUUCUAACCUUAAAAAGAUUUAGCCAGACAUGGUAACGCAAACAAACAUAACGGUGUUAAUCAUGAUGAAAAGUUUAUUUUAGAAUGUGAGGCGUAGAGAGCGAGUAAAAUGCGUAAAAUAAAUAAAGUAAAGCGAGUGCGGAAAAUAAAUAAAGUAAAGCGAGUGUGGAAAAUAAAUAAAGUAAAGCGAGUGCGAAAAAUAAAUAAAGUAAAAGCGAGUGCGGAAAAUAAAUAAAGUAAAAGCGGUGCAGGAAAUAAAUAAAGUAAAAGCGAUGCAGGAAAUAAAUAAAUAAAGCGAUAAAUAAGAACCUGCUCCAAACGGAAGCUUCGAUUCUAAUACAAAAAUAAACCUCUGACUCCUGAAGCUAAAGACGACAGCAACUCGAAGUGACCCAACUCAAGCUCAGAAUGGUGCGAUAACCCCCCGAUGUGACAGAUUAUCGCUAUUACAAAUGAUAUCUAUAUGCUUAGUGUUGUAAAACUAAGUUGGAUGAUAGAAAACGAAAUGAAAUGAGCUAUUUAUAGAGAUUCUCAGCAAUUUGUAAAGACCAUGGUGCCCUCCAACUUCUCCUUAGUGGGCUUUAGUGGGAACGUGAUUUCCAAAGGUGGCGCCCGCCAUCCCUUCAUGGCGCCCGCCAUGUGUGUAAAUGGGGUGAAUCGUGGGAACGUGACAGUUACCUCCUGGUUUAGGGCUGGUGACUCAUGGCUUCCCCUAUAACGGUCGCCAUGUGCAACGCCAUGUGUGUAAUUUCGCUGAAAAACCCUAAUUUUAGGUAUUUUUGCUUCGUUUCUUCCAAAAGAGUCCGAAAGUGCUAAAUAUCUGAAAACAAGAGAAAAGAGAGCAUAAUACAAAUAAAAUGAUGAUAAAGUCCUAAUAAACAUGUGAAAUUCGAGUCAAAAAUACAGUGUAAUUCGGUGCGAUCACAAUCCACCAUUUCUUGUAAGAUUGAGUAUAAUUAUAUCUUGUGACGAUAUGAGAUAUUAUUAUACUCACCUUCACUUAUGGGUCUUUGUUAACAAGCGGCAAAAUAUCUUGACAUAUCAAUGCAGCGCUUAAUUUAUCUUGUGACGAUAUGAGAUAUUAUUAUACUCACCUUCACUUAUGGGUCUUUGUUAACAAGCGGCAAAAUAUCUUGACAUAUCAAUGCAGCGCUUAAUUUACGGUGAUCUUGUUCAACAUUAGUUGCAUUGCAACUGUGAGGUGGAUCUAUAGAAGUUAUCUCCCAAGAGGCGUUUCUCUUUUUGUGAGACGCAUCCAACCGAAACUUUGAAGGGAUCUUACGACAUUCGAUGACAUGCCUUCUCACACACAUUCUUCUUUAAUGCAGAAUAUGUAUCUCACUUUUAACUCACUCUCUGAUCGUGGAUACGGGUUAUAAAAAACACUAUUGGAUGUUUCAUCGUCAUGCAAAUCCAUGUUUGCAUAUGUUCAGCGGAUUAUAUACAUGACUUGCAGGUAAGGACGAUGAAUGACCGUCAUCUUCAAUAUUGUUGUUCAACAUAUGAUCAACAUGUGUCUCAGUCUCUUCUUCUUCUUCUUCAAUGACGUUGAGUUCUGCUUCUACUUCUAAGUCGGCUUCAUCUAAGUUUUCUAAAUCAAAAUCAUCAGAUUCAACUUGAUUAGUUACCUGAGAUUGCUGAGAUGAUAUACUUGGUUGAAGAGUAAUAUAUACUCAAUAGAGUUGCGACCAGAAUAUUCGUGACUAACAAACAUAUAUUUAACAUUUUUAUCGUCUUGUACCUUUAGCGGAAAAAAUUUGCAUUGACUGUUCUAUAAAAAAAUUGGAUUUCGAUACGUGAUUUGUGACACAAGACCAGAUCAUAUGCAAGAUUCAAUUUGUUUUUUCAAAUGCAAAAAAUCUGAAUUACUCUUGAUCGUAAGUCGGAUAGUAUCAGUGUUUCAAAAACAAAACCCGUAUAGAUCAGACUCAUAUGUCUCACGUUUGCGGUGAACAUUAAUAGUAUAUUUUGGUGCAUAUGACAUUGUAAUAUUUCUUGUGCAAAUGAAAAGUAAUAUUUUUGUGUGCAAAAACAAAGCCCUAACGCCAGUCCAAUUGACGCUAGCAUGUAUCCCUUGUAUGAGCGUCAGUCCAAUUGGCGCUACCAUGUCUUCCUUGCAGACCUCAUAACCAAGCAUGCAGAGCCUAGGAGGCGCCAGGCUAGGUGAAGACCAUGCAUGCAUGCAAGCCUAGGAGGCGCCACUUUGAUUGGCGCUAGCAUGUGGCAUUUGCAUGUGUAAGCCAAACCAUUUUGCGCUAGCAGGCAAGCACAACUAUCCAUGCAUAUCUUAACAUGUCACUCAUUAUAAAUAACAAUGCAACUCUCACAUUUUUUCCAUGCCAGCAAUCACUUCUUUCAUCUACAAUAACCACUGUUUCAAAUAUUUACUUCGAUAAGAGGUCUCUCCUCACUAUGGAUGAAUCGCACAGAUGCACAAUUGCAAACAUAGUAACUUAUGUAAGUAUUUAAUUCUUGUAUUACUUUUCUAGAAUAUUUUUCAAUAAAGUAACGUAUUUGUUGUUUAUCUUUUAUAAAGUAACGUAUUUCGUUGUACACAUGGACCUGAUGAUUCAAUUAUAUGUCAAACUCGAUGAUUUUGAACAUAUAAGCAAAAUAAUGUCUUGGUCAAUUGACAAUAAAUUUAUUCUUGCGUUAUGUGAAAGGCGUCCCAAGACACACAUUCUAGUUUUCAACCGGUGAAUAUAACGUGACGUUAGAAGACGUCUACAUGUUAUUGAGACUGCAUAUCGAAAAAGAUAAAGCGGUAAAUGGUAAAACCAACUAUGCGAAUUUAAUUUGCAUGAACCUCUUCAAUGUUGAUUUGAUAGAUGAUAAUUCAAGAGGUCAAUAAGGCAUACAAAUAAUAAAAACUACGUGUUACAUUAUACUUUUAAUUAGUUUAUUUUUAUUUCUCAAAAUAAUGGUUCAAGUAUGCAUGUUAUAUAUUUACAUUUACUAAAACACAUAGAUAUAAUAUGAAAUUACAGUUGGGGUCUGCUUGUAAGACUUAUCUUUAUAACUUUUUGUGUUUGACUUAUCUUUAUAGUUUUUUUUGUGUAAAAACACAUAAAAAUACACACUGACUACUGUCUAUUGCGCUCAUCAACAACAACCCAUUCACACCGUCCCUAACGCCCAUCAACAACCCAUUCACAUGCCUGUAUGUACAAAAAUGGACUAUAUUUACUUACUUUACCAAUUAUUAUCUCUAAAUAAUAUUUUAAUUUUAUGGCACAGAUGGUCGACAAGAGGUAUGAGUUAUAACAAAUGUCAAAGCAUUCAACAUCGUUAUGCACACAACACAGCACCCUAUCAUAGUUGUCUUAACCAAAACACUCAACGAUCAUUUAACAUCAACCAUCUAUCCUCCUACCAUAGCACCACAACAAUAGUUUUCAACCUUUCCUCGACACAUCAUUCAUUUGUAUGACUAUCUCAGACAAUCUCCUAUAGGUGGUGGUGAUGUUCCUGGACCCUCGGAUACUCAAACACAUGGGGUGAAUCAUAAACGUGGAUUACGACAUCAAAUUCAGGGAUGUCUAACCAUCUAUUAGGUGAUUCAGCUCAUCAACAUUAGUCUAAUUUUUUUUGUGUAAAAUGAUAUUAUUAAUAUGAAUUGAUCCAAUUUCAACUUUAUAUAUCAUUUAAGUUUAAGAGCAAAUGCCAAUAAAUUUUUGAAUUUUUUUUUUGAAAAAUUGAAUUAUUUGAAAAAAAAAUUCAACAAUAUCAUUUAUAAAAGUAGCAAAUUAAUAAUAAUAAGAUACAACUCCAAUCUUGAUUGUUGAAAGAUAAAUAUUAUCCAGAGGUAUUAAAUAAAAUUUAAGGUGUAUAUUAAAUGUUAAAUAAAUAUAUAAAACACUACUUAUUCUAUGAAUAAAGCAAAAGUCAAGAGUACUAUAGUUACUUUAUCAAAAAAAUACAUCUAGAUAAUAUUUAAUAUUUAGUAAUAAUCAAGUUUAUAACAAUUUAUUAUUAAUAAACUUUCCACUUUUUAUAAAGAAUAUUGUUUAGUAUUGUUUAAUUUAUAUUUAAUUUUCUUAAAACUCUAAUUAAGCGAGAUUAAGGAUGAGAUAUAUACGCUUACCAAAAAAAAAUCUUUUACUAAUACUUUAUCACUCAUUCAUUAUUCAACUUCAAGAUCUCUAAUUCUCAUUAACCUCACGGUAAAAAUUUGUAAGAAAAUGAAUUAUAAAUUACAAUUAAUAUUUAACAUCUAAUAAUCAAGUUUGAAGCUAAAUUAUAAUUAAUAAAUUUGCCACUUCUUUUAAAUGAUAUGAGUCUAUACACUUACCAAAAGAUCUUUUAAAUGGGGUAGAAUGAAACAAAAUAAUUUGAAAAAUACAAAUUAAAACUGAAUCCCCUUAAAAACAGAGCAAUUCAAACGAUUUUAUGGGAAUAAUUGCACUAUUUAUGUGGAAUCAAGAUUUGUGAUAUGUUUUAAAAUCUUAGUAAGAUAUUUCCUCCUCUUCAUCAUAUGUCCUAGGAACCCUCUCCCUCUUCAGCAUCCUUACUAGAACUCCCCACUACUUCAAACAUAUCACUAAUCUUUAUAAAGUCACCCGAAGGAUACCACGGCUAAAGGAUACAAUUCAAUUUGUAAGGAGGCGUCACUUAUUUAAUUAGCUCUCCAAAGAAACAAGAAGAUCACUAGUAAAGAAAAAGCCAAAAACAAGAUAUGAGACGAGACAAGUUGCAUUCUACCCAUUUAAAAAUAAUCAAGAGGAGCAAUAAAACGGCCAAGAAUCAAUAAAACAAGUUGCAUUCUACCCAUUUAAAAAUAAUCAAGAGGAGCAAUAAUACGGCCAAGAAUCAAUAAAACAUCAUGACUCACAUUCAACCGCUCAAGAUUAACCUCACACGACUGACUCCACAAUGGCACUCGAGUACACUCAAGUGAUACAGUGACGUUGCCAAUCCCCUAUCCUAAAUCCUAGGGCAUAUAGAGAGUUCUCACAAUAAGUAUGGAUUAAUUCGAAGGCUCAACAUCAUAACCAAGUACAACUCAUUUUUAAUCUUGCAAGAGACCUCUUUAAACUAAGAAACUUGAGCAUUAAAUUGUUUACCUUGUAGGUACAUUCCCCGCAUUCGCAUGUCAAAGAACUUGCUGCUGCUACUAGUGCAACCUCAUCCGCUCAUCAUCAAUUUCCUAUUCCACACUAGAAUAGGUUUGAUUCAUUCUACAUUUUUUGAUAAGCAUGCCAAGUUUAAAUAUUCUUCUAUAUAAAAUAAAUCACUCAAUAUUGAGUUAUGUUAUAUAGAAAAAUAUUGUUAAGACCAAAGCAAACUGAGAAAUGUGUUUAUCAAAACAUCUAAGAACAGAAUUUAUUCCCAACUUUUAACUACUUAUAAACGAGAAGUUAGAUCAGAAACUCACAAAACUAAGUGCUUAUAAGGGCCAGUAGCUAAAAAAUUACAAAGAAGCCAAUUACAAUUCAGUAUAGUUCAUAUUAGUACAAAACGUGGUAAUAAAAAUAAGUUAAUAUGACAGUAUAAUGUGAAACUCAUAUACACAUCAUCAGAAAGGAUAAUUUAUCUCAUCCACAACCUAAGUUGUGUAGGAAGGUGUCCUAAGAUUUAUUCCAAACUCAUCACAUGAUACAUAAAAUGCAAAUACAAAGGGACAAUAUAAUACUGUCAAAAUACCCUAAAUAAACAGAGAAAUAUACAUUAUAUAACAAAAGUAUAGAUUCAGAAGCAUAUAGAUAUAUUUAGCAUCACAAAAUCAGAUCAAGUGUUGGAUUAUAUAUUUUGCUUCAUCCUUAUCGACCACAGUUAACAAAACGUUUUCAAAGAAGAUGGAUCUGUAAAAGUCAAUUAAGAUUUAAAUAUUAUUGAGAAAUUUAGUUCCCCGACGUCCAAAUACAAC
rnacentral:lncRNA from 1 species